GUCGGCGACCAUAUCACAUUGAAAGCACCGGUUCUCGUCUGAUCACCGCAGUUAAGCAACGUUGGGCCCGGUCAGUACUUGCAUGGGUGUCUGGCUGGGAAUACCGGGUGUCGCCGGCU
rnacentral:rRNA from 1 species